rnacentral:lncRNA from 1 species
AUUUGUGUAUAUAGGGCAAAACCUAAUUUCAGCUUUUAUGUGUUCUGCAGGAAGAGUUAAAGGGAUCUGAAUUCAGCUCCUGUGAGGUUGACAGUAAGGUAUUUGAUGAAAGUCUGAACACCACACCGCCAUGUUCUGUGGACAUCUGUUUCCCCAGUGAAGAACUUUAUACAUCUAUAGGUAAAUGUUUUUCCUAAAAUCUCUUGGAUCUUACUUGGCUACCAUAUUUACCACAUUUGUUUCUGUAACAGAACCUGGGGCUUUGAGCACUUCCACUCUAAUUUACAAGAUGUUUGAAGACGUCCUGCAACAUGCAGACAAGGAAGGUGAAGAUGGAAAUAAGGAAGAGGGGGUGGAGAAAGAUGAGAGCAAUUCAUCUGAGACUGAAAAGGAAGACAAAACGGAAUCGGACACAGUUGAAAAGGAAGACAAACAGGAACCAGUCACAGUCACAUUAAAUGAGUAUCCUCUUGACCAGAGUGAGAUGUGUGAAGAGAGUGAAGAAACUCCUGAUGCCAGUUCUGCAACAGAGAAAGAGAAGGAGCUCCAGUCUGUUGAUGAUGGUGAAGGAGAGAUGGAAGAAAAGCAGGAGAGCACCCCCAUGGUUGAUGAGGACUUUCUAACCCUGCCACCCAGCUGUAUCCUCUCUCCUCUCAGCAAAUCUGUGGAGGCUGUUGUCACACCACUGAACAUUGAAAUCAUUGUGUCUGAGCCAUCAGUACAGCUGCCCUCACCUGAAGAAAUGACAGCUAGUCCUGCUGACUGCGGUCAACCUUUAUACAGCAUUGACGCCUACCGCUCACAGAGGAAGAUCCAUCCCCCCUCUACUCAGAGCUUGACCCCUGGAGUUCAGAAGCAGGUUCAAGAGAAGACCUGCUCAAAAAAGCCCAUAAACAUCAAGGAGAGAAUUAAGGUUUGAAACUUAUACUGAGAGACUUACCGGGGUAUUUUAGGAGACUUCAUGCAUGCAAGAUCUGAUGCAAGUUAUUUUAUUUGUUCCAUUAAGGUUUUAAACGAGGAGGCAGCCAAGUUGCA